rnacentral:rRNA from 1 species
GCAGCAGUGAGGAAUAUUGGUCAAUGGGCGCUAGCCUGAACCAGCCAAGUAGCGUGAAGGAUGAAGGCUCUAUGGGUCGUAAACUUCUUUUAUAUAAGAAUAAAGUGCAGUAUGUAUACUGUUUUGUAUGUAUUAUAUGAAUAAGGAUCGGCUAACUCCGUGCCAGCAGCCGCGGUAAUACGGAGGAUCCGAGCGUUAUCCGGAUUUAUUGGGUUUAAAGGGAGCGUAGGUGGACUGGUAAGUCAGUUGUGAAAGUUUGCGGCUCAACCGUAAAAUUGCAGUUGAUACUGUCAGUCUUGAGUACAGUAGAGGUGGGCGGAAUUCGUGGUGUAGCGGUGAAAUGCUUAGAUAUCACGAAGAACUCCGAUUGCGAAGGCAGCUCACUGGACUGCAACUGACACUGAUGCUCGAAAGUGUGGGUAUCAAACAGGAUUAGAUACCCUGGUAGUCCACACAGUAAACGAUGAAUACUCGCUGUUUGCGAUAUACAGUAAGCGGCCAAGCGAAAGCAUUAAGUAUUCCACCUGGGGAGUACGCCGGCAACGGUGAAACUCAAAGGAAUUGACGGGGGCCCGCACAAGCGGAGGAACAUGUGGUUUAAUUCGAUGAUACGCGAGGAACCUUACCCGGGCUUAAAUUGCAGUGGAAUGAUGUGGAAACAUGUCAGUGAGCAAUCACCGCUGUGAAGGUGCUGCAUGGUUGUCGUCAGCUCGUGCCGUGAGGUGUCGGCUUAAGUGCCAUAACGAGCGCAACCCUUAUCUUUAGUUACUAACAGGUUAUGCUGAGGACUCUAGAGAGACUGCCGUCGUAAGAUGUGAGGAAGGUGGGGAUGACGUCAAAUCAGCACGGCCCUUACGUCCGGGGCUACACACGUGUUACAAUGGGGGGUACAGAAGGCAGCUAGCGGGUGACCGUAUGCUAAUCCCAAAAGCCUCUCUCAGUUCGGAUCGAAGUCUGCAACCCGACUUCGUGAAGCUGGAUUCGCUAGUAAUCGCGCAUCAGCCACGGCGCGGUGAAUACGUUCCCGGGCCUUGUACACACCGCCCGUCAAGCCAUGGGAGCCGGGGGUACCUGAAGUACGUAACCGCAAGGAUCGUCCUAGGGUAAAACUGGUGACUGGGGCUAAGUCGUAACAAGGUAGCCGUACCGGAAGGUGCGGCUG